CCCCCAUGAGGAAAACCCCCCCAUGUCUGACCCCCCCGGCGGGCCCAGGACCUGCCAAGGUGGAACCCACUGGUGCCCCCGGGGGGGACACGAAGAGAGCCAGUCCCGUGGGGACGGUCUGAGGGGG